UACGGGGGGGGCAAGCGUUGUUCGGAAUUACUGGGCGUAAAGGGCUCGUAGGCGGCCAACUAAGUCAGCCGUGAAAUCCCUCGGCUUAACCGGGGAACUGCGUCUGAUACUGGUUGGCUUGAAUCCGGGAGAGGGAUGUGGAAUUCCAGGUGUAGCGGUGAAAUGCGUAGAUAUCUGGAGGAACACCGGUGGCGAAGGCGGCAUCCUGGACCGGUAUUGACGCUGAGGAGCGAAAGCCAGGGGAGCAAACGGG
rnacentral:rRNA from 1 species